CCUCUCCCUGCUGGAUCAAGAAAAGGAUGUCCAAGUUCUUUGGUUGUGCUCAAUUGUUGCCAAAGUACAUGACAAACUACUUCCCAAGUUGCUUAAAUGAAUAAAUUGACUCCUAUUAUAGAUCAAAGUACCAUACCCACACCGGCUUCUUGAGUGUGGCCAAGAAAGCAAGGUAGAGGAGGGCAUCUGAAGCAUCCUAGAGCAUCAUGAGGGCCUUGUAGCCCUCCAAAUGGUCGAGUA
rnacentral:lncRNA from 1 species